ACACGCCCCACGGCCGCUGUGUGCCCCUGCUUCAAAGAAAUCCUUAAACAGAGUGUCCCCAGAAAGGAGCAGCCUAUGAAAGAAGACUGAGUGAGCGGAUUAGGACUUUUCACCCCGCAAAGGAACAGCUGGAGGAGUUUGGGAUGUGAUGGAAAUCUGUAAAAAUCAAGAGAGGUCCAAAGUGGCAUACGCAGAACAGUCUUUUUUGAUACUUGUCAUGAAACAAGAAAUCUGGAGCAUGGAACUCAUGAACCAAAAUAAAAAAGGGAGGCUUCAUAGAAAUGAGCCCAUCGAUGAGCAUUGGCCAGACCCUGCACCUUGGCCAUCAGUCACAGUGGCACUGGGACUUGUUUAGUGUAGCUGGUUGUCAACUGGAAACAUGCAGAGGAAGGUUUAUGGGAGAAUGUGCAGCGAAUCCGAGAAGCAAUACCAC